rnacentral:misc_RNA from 1 species
CGUAAAGUGAAAGUAACUGUAUAUGUAUAUUGUAACUGAGUCUUAGUUUCGUAUCUUUUUGUUAACAGGUUUCUUUGGAGAGAAUAAAUACAAGAGACCUUGAAAAGUCGUCAAAGUUGUUCUUACCCAGCCUUUGGGGCUAAGAGGGUUACAAAUGGCGCCCACGUAAAAGUAUAACUUUCCAGAAACCAGGGGCUUGAUAUUCUUGAAGGCGCAAGGACCGGAAGCUGGGGACGGUUUCCGGUGGCUAGCUUACGCGACCCACUAGUCACAUUUAUAGUACAGCUGUAUCUGAAUUGGAGACGGGAGUGGACACGGUGUGUGGAGAGUCUUGGGCGAUGCGGGACAUCGCUGAAGGGAUAUACAAGGCGGAGAGAUGGAGACGGGAGACGGACUCCAAUGUGAUCGGUGAAGAACCGACGCAAGUGUGUUCUCAACGGACUUGUGUAGGAUCUGUCAUUCUGUGUUGACAUUUAUCUCGUUGUCGCUGGGCACUCCAGAUUUGUGUUUUGUGCUGCUGUUUUGAUAUUUUCAUGAACUGUGACUCUAUGAUGAUCGUGUAUGUUACGUGUAGAUAGUGAUGUAAAUAUGUACAACAGGAUGUUUUUGAUAGCCAGGGGCCUGUGAAGGACACCUGUAGAGCGGUGGGUUUGUAUAGACAUCCUCCCCCAUCAUUCAUCAUCCUUUAAUGUUGUAUGCACGCUGUCUUUCCCGCCACCAGAAUGGAAGGUUUCUUUGGAGAGAAUAAAUACAAGAGACCUUGAAAAGUCGUCAAAGUUGUUCUUACCCAGCCUUUGGGGCUAAGAGGGUUACAGGUAUAUGUCCAGUCGACGACAGUCACGCGUGGUUAUCAAUAAAACAAUACAAGGGCCUGGUACUGGUUAACAAGGAGGGUGUGGUCACAGAGACAGUAAAACUGGUCUUCUGUCCAGACAUGAUCACCAUGGUCGGGACAACAGACAUACUUUUGACCAGUCUUCAAGUUAAUUCAUUUGUAUAUAAACUGUCACUACACAACAAACAAGUGACAACAUUUGCUGAGACCACAUAAGACAUGGGACGUCAGUAUCAACGAGAGUGGCGAGGUGAUUAUUACUACAGGUACACCAGACAUAGUGGUACUGAAUCAGUCAGGUACGAUUGUGAGGAAGGUCACGAUAGGAUCAGAAAGAAUAGUGUUCGUUGUCUGCUUGUCAUCGGGACGUCUGUGUGUAGUUCAAACAAUUGGAGGAAAGUCGGCUGAUAAGAAUAUAAAGAUAACAGACGAGUCAGGUACCGUCAUACAGACAUGGACUGGUGAACUCGACAACGGUCAAAAGGUCGGUAGUAUGGACCUCGGUAAGAUGUCGUGUGAUAAGUACGAUAGAAUCUUUGUACCAGAUUACAAGAACAGUCAGGUGUACGUCCUACCGAAAGACGGGAAACAAGCUGUGUGUCUCCUGAACCAUAAACAUAGUGUUGAAACCUACAGCGGUGGAUGUAGACACGUGUGGUAACGUGUGGAUCGGGUGUUAUAGCGGUACCGUACACGUGAUGGGACUGUAACAUGAGGAAAUUGUGAUAUACGGUACAUUUGUGCUCGUGGUACAAUACAUUGUAGAUCACCGAUGUAUGAAGUCUGAAGUAUCCUCAAAUAAACAGUGAGUGCAUUUUUAUGACCGUGGUAAUCAGACAAUCACAAGUAACUAGAAUGUUUAAUGACAACCGACAUCACAUGGUGAACGAAUAAUAAAUUAUAAGUGAGAUGUAUCCAAGAUUUUGUUGUGUAUAUGUGUGUUGUUGUUUGUUUAGGUUCUUUUCAUUUGGAUUAAUUUCAUUUCAUCUUAGGAGGGAGAGAUUGAGAG